GAUGAACGCUGGCGGCGUGCUUAACACAUGCAAGUCGAACGAAACACCUUAUUUGAUUUUCUUCGGAACUGAAGAUUUGGUGAUUGAGUGGCGGACGGGUGAGUAACGCGUGGGUAACCUGCCCUGUACAGGGGGAUAACAGUCAGAAAUGACUGCUAAUACCGCAUAAGACCACAGCACCGCAUGGUGCAGGGGUAAAAACUCCGGUGGUACAGGAUGGACCCGCGUCUGAUUAGCUGGUUGGUGAGGUAACGGCUCACCAAGGCGACGAUCAGUAGCCGGCUUGAGAGAGUGAACGGGCACAUUGGGACUGAGACCCGGACCAAACUCCUACGCGAGGCAGCAGUGGGGAAUAUUGCACAAUGGGGGAAACCCUGAUGCAGCGACGCCGCGUGAGUGAAGAAGUAUCUCGGGAUGUAAAGCUCUAUCAGCAGGGAAGAAAAUGACGGUACCUGACUAAGAAGCCCCGGCUAACUACGUGCCAGCAGCCGCAGUAA
rnacentral:rRNA from 1 species